rnacentral:rRNA from 1 species
ACUGUAGGUCAAACCUCCUUGUAAAGCCUGAUCUCAUCAGAUUUCAGAAGCUAAGCAGGGCUGGGACUGGUUAGGAGCUAGAUGGGUGUCCAGGUGUCACAAGGGGGUGUCAGUG